UACGGAGGGAAGAAGCGUUGUUCGGAAUUACUGCGUGUAAAGCGCGUGUAGGUGGCUUGUCAUGUCAGGAGUGAAAGCCCUCGGCCUAACCGAGGACGUGCGCCUGAAACUGCCAAGCUUGAGUACGAGAGAGGAGGACGGAAUUCCCAGUGUAGAGGUGAAAUUCGUAGAUAUUGGGAGGAACACCGGUGGCGAAAGCGGUUCUCUGGAUCGAUACUGACACUAAGACGCGAAAGCGUGGGGAUCAAACAGG
rnacentral:rRNA from 1 species